rnacentral:rRNA from 1 species
AGAGUUUGAUCCUGGCUCAGGAUGAACUUUGGCGGCGUGCCUAAUACAUGCAAGUCGAGCGAACAGACGAGGAGCUUGCUCCUCUGACGUUAGCGGCGGACGGGUGAGUAACACGUGGAUAACCUACCUAUAAGACUGGGAUAACUUCGGGAAACCGGAGCUAAUACCGGAUAAUAUAUUGAACCGCAUGGUUCAAUAGUGAAAGACGGUUUUGCUGUCACUUAUAGAUGGAUCCGCGCCGCAUUAGCUAGUUGGUAAGGUAACGGCUUACCAAGGCAACGAUGCGUAGCCGACCUGAGAGGGUGAUCGGCCACACUGGAACUGAGACACGGUCCAGACUCCUACGGGAGGCAGCAGUAGGGAAUCUUCCGCAAUGGGCGAAAGCCUGACGGAGCAACGCCGCGUGAGUGAUGAAGGUCUUCGGAUCGUAAAACUCUGUUAUUAGGGAAGAACAAAUGUGUAAGUAACUAUGCACGUCUUGACGGUACCUAAUCAGAAAGCCACGGCUAACUACGUGCCAGCAGCCGCGGUAAUACGUAGGUGGCAAGCGUUAUCCGGAAUUAUUGGGCGUAAAGCGCGUGUAGGCGGUUUUUUAAGUCUGAUGUGAAAGCCCACGGCUCAACCGUGGAGGGUCAUUGGAAACUGGAAAACUUGAGUGCAGAAGAGGAAAGUGGAAUUCCAUGUGUAGCGGUGAAAUGCGCAGAGAUAUGGAGGAACACCAGUGGCGAAGGCGACUUUCUGGUCUGUAACUGACGCUGAUGUGCGAAAGCGUGGGGAUCAAACAGGAUUAGAUACCCUGGUAGUCCACGCCGUAAACG